GUAGAGGAGAUGGCGCAGGGGACACGGGCCAAGACUAGGGGUUGCUGGGACCUCCCGACAUAGGUCCUCCUCUCCCUCCUCCCAG
rnacentral:pre_miRNA from 9 species